rnacentral:rRNA from 1 species
UUGGAGGGCAAGUCUGGUGCCAGCAGCCGCGGUAAUUCCAGCUCCAAUAGCGUAUAUUAAAGUUGUUGCAGUUAAAAAGCUCGUAGUUGAAUUUCGGGAUCAGUUGGUCGGUCGUGCCUCGGUACGUACUGGUCAAAUUGAUUCCUACCUUCUGACGAACCACGAUGUCAUUAAUUUGGUGUCGCGGGAAAUCAGGACUGUUACUUUGAAAAAAUUAGAGUGUUUAAAGCAGGCUCGCGCUUGAAUACAUUAGCAUGGAAUAAUGAAAUAGGACGUUUGAUUCUAUUUUGUUGGUUUCUAGGAUCGACGUAAUGAUUAAUAGGGAUAGUUGGGGGCAUUAGCAUUCAAUUGUCAGAGGUGAAAUUCUUGGAUUUAUUGAAGACUAACUACUGCGAAAGCAUUUGCCAAGGAUGUUUCCAUUAAUCAAGAACGAAAGUUAGGGGAUCGAAGACGAUCAGAUACCGUCGUAGUCUUAACCAUAAACUAUGCCGACUAGGGAUCGGAUGAUGUUAAUUUUUUAAUGACUCAUUCGGCGCCAUACGGGAAACCAAAGUGUUUGGGUUC